UAUAUAUAAAAUAUAUAUAAUAUAUAUAUCCAUCAAUAAUUAUUAAUUCAGGCACUUUGCUGUGUUGUAGGCCAGCAAAACGAAGUUUCAAUAUUUCCAGCUUUCAGUUUAAUGAGAAUGAGAGAUUAUUAUGUAUAGAAAAUAUUACAUAGUGCCUACUGAGUCCUUUCUGCAGACUGGGCACUUUGAAAAAGCAUCGAACAUGCAUAACUCAUUAUUCUGUGGAUGAGGAAACUAGGGCACAGAAAGAUAAGACCUGGUACAGGUCACUCAGGAAGUAGCAGAGCUGUGAUCCAAAGCCAGUCGGAGUGGCUGCACAGGGGCUGUUCCCAGCCGCUUCUCUGCUCUGCCUUCAUUGUGACCAUCCGAAGUGUGGUGCAGGUGCCUGCUGUGAUGUGCUACCUGUCAAAGGCCCAAAAGCAAAGGAACCAUUGGCUAUGGACUGAAAUCUUUAAAACUGUGUGGAUGAGAUGACUGGAGGACAUCAGGAAAAUUGUCAGAGAUCACCUCCUCCCCAUACUGCUCCUCAAGGGUCCUUACGUUCUGUCAUCUUUAAAAAACAGGAACUGGAAAUCAUAAAUGUUGCAUUCUGGUUGAAAAUGAUGGCAUGGAACACUGAUGGCUGGUCACCCAUCCAAAAAUAAAGACUGACUGUUGACCAAACAAAAGAUUAUUCAAUGAAUAUUUUAAUUAAAAUAAACUAUUUAAAU
rnacentral:lncRNA from 1 species